GCCUGGCCCCGCCAGUGCCCCGGGUCCACGUUCCACUGCCGCUGAGGGGCGUUCGGGCGCCACUCAGCAGCCCAAAUUGAAACCCUGGGAGGCUCGAGACUGAAUCUAGAAGGGCAGGUAGAGGGGCUGCCGGGCGGCCCCUGGAUACCCUAGUAAAACCGGGGCAAGGGAAGGUUUGUCACUUGGCAGAUCAGGAGCGGCUUGGAGGGCGGAGGAGAGCAGCCUCUCGGGAAGCCCCUCGGGAGGGAAGGUUCCUCGAAUCCAGGGUAAAUGUAGUGGGGCCCCUCUGGGAUGGUGUAAACUUAUUCAGCUCCAAAUACAGCCCUGUAUUCUGCCCUGCGUUCCACAGGACCCUUUUCUACACGAAAAGUCUAUGGAUGCACAAAAUUCCACUCAAACCAAUGUCCAGUUUUAUUGCAAGAAAGUAGCAGCAGUGUCUAAGGGUUUGUCUCUGGCUAUGUUAAAGGGCCAUCCUCUGAGGAAAGCAGAGGAAGGAGAGGAACUCUAUUAUCCUUGCAGUGAAACGUUAACAACUGCAGAAAACUCCACGGAGUUCGCUCCAAAUGCUCAUCUUCUUCUUCGGCCCUGGAUGUCAGACAAACAGGAAACAAAAUUAUUUUUCUUCGUGGAGGGUAGAGCAGCACUCCCCCCUCGCCCGGUAUUUUGGAUCCCCAAGCCGGAGUGGGGGGCACCGGGCCAGUGGGACGCUGCCCCGGCCCUCCAGCGACCUCUGCAUUGAACUUUCCGCACACUUCUCGGCACCUCGGCAGGUGGCCCAGCCUCGACCCCGAUCCCAAGUCCCACUCACUGCUUCUCCUGAGCGUCCAAGUCCCUGACGAGCGCAUCGCGCUUGUUCACCAGGGCCACCAGCUCAUCCAGCAGGAGCUGUUCGCGUCGCUUCUGGGCCUCGGUCUUCUGCCAGUCUGCAGGGGACGGGAGGCUCGUUAUCCACCGGCAGGGCCUCCGCACACCCGGCCCCCGCCCUCCCCUUCCCGCCUUUUCCUUAGAUUUUUCGGCAAACCAUGUUAAAGAGCCACUAAGCUAAGUGUUUUCUGGGGGUUUUGGCUAUCGUGGUGAGGGUUUCACAGCUAAAACCCUACUUUGCAAAUGUUAAUAUUUCCCGCAGAUGGAGAUAGCUGCGGCAGGGUGGGAGCCUGCUUAAAACCAGGUGUGAGCCCGUGGCUAGCCUGAGGUGAGCACCUGAAUCCAGCCAAAGUGGGGGAGGGGAGCUGGAGGCCCAGAAGAGGUUGGCCCUGGGGUUCGUGGUGGGGGAAGUGGGUAAAAGAGGCGGCGGGAAACAGCGAUGGGCGAUAAAAUCAUUCCGAAAAGGCUAGAGAAUCUGCCUGUGAACCUAGCCUCCUCCCCCACCCCCACUCUCACCCCAAACAGCCCAUUCUUCGCUAAUUUCCUCUUCGCUCUAUUUUAGCAGUUGGAUGUAUCUCACACUGGGCGCCAUAUGCUUCACAAUAACUUUAAAAGUAGUGAAUCGGCUAAUUAGCAUUUUUCUUUGAAGUAAAAAAUAAAUUUGCUCUGCAAUAUUACACUGCAGCUCUCGAUCGCAUCACAGCCAGUUUUCUUUUGGAGAUGUUUGCUGGGUGAUUUCAAAUCAAAGCACUUUUGCAAAGGAAAAAUUACAUAUUUCUUUUUGAAAUCCCAUGUUAAAGGUUGGAAAAUCCGAUGGGCAGUGCUCUUUCCAUGGGUAGGGGCGGGUUUUUUUUUAAGGUUUUGGGUCCCAAUAAUAUAUUUCCUAAUUUUUGCUGGUCUGAUAAUUUUCCUAAGAUGAGCAGCAGUUUCAUUUAAUAAAAACAGGACCAAAUCGAACAUUUAAAACACUUUUGAAACCAAAGCCAACUGCUCUCUGGCCAGACUGUAAGGGCUUGUAGCUGUCAAUCAACCCCCAGUCUACCCCGCCUCCCUCAUUAGGAAGGUAAACAAUGAAAAGAAGAAGUAGAUGAUGAGGCAGAUAGCAGAACAAAUGAGGACCUAUAGGGAAACAGGACACCAGCUUAAAAAAAAAAAA